UUAGCCAAUCGGGAACGCGCACGCUCCGCCCUCUUGUCAGCCAUCCGUAGUGCUGGCAGCGAGGCGUCUUAGCCUACGCACCCAUCCAGUUGAAGCGAUUGGAGUUUAUUUUUAACUGGCAUAAGAUUCAUCAGUGUCUGAAGCUGAGGCUGCAAACAGUCUGCCACGGACCUGUUUUCUGGUACAAGCCACGUAACCUCCAGUCCAGUUUGCUUAUCGUCAGCACUGGAAUGUGACAGCAGCCUCUUCACAGAGGCACAGGAGGAAAAGGAUCACCUAACAGAGCCAAACGCCUCUGCUGUUUCCCACACAGCCCGAGCUGUGCUCCAGCAAGACCAGGGGGCACAGAAAAGGUGGUACUUGUCAACAGUGAGCCUGCCGCUGCUCUAGCGAUCCAGACUGUUGAGGUGCACGGUGUAGCACAGGUUGGUUGAAGAAAGAACGCACUCCAAGGUGAAAUUUAAAGGACUGCGUGGCAGCAGGAAGGUCCAGCCUCUCGGAUGGACUGAACCCAGAACAGCCAUACAAAGGCGGAUUUACUGAUUGUUACACAAAGUAUUUCCUCAGACCAAGGUCCCUAAUCUGAUUUACAUGUCUUACUAAAGAAGAGCAUCCCAUGGCCUCAUGA